rnacentral:rRNA from 1 species
AUGUCUUUUUUCGACCUGUGCCAGAACUGGUUGUCUAGCUAUACUGGCAAAGAUAGGGUAGUUGUUUUAUUGGGUACUGCUGCUCUCUUGUGGUCUAUAUGGAAAACAAGGAACAAAUCCAGUUUUCAAAGUGCCAUGCCUACAGAUCCUACUGGCAUUAUCUUUCUUGUUUGUUCCCUAAUUGACUCCUGGAAAAAUCUGCAGAAAAGAGGGGUACAAAACAUGCUGCAUCAGGUGUCUAGACGGAUCGUGAGGGUGACUCGUGAUGUCUUCAGAGGUGGGCAUGGUUUGGCGCCGCAUGUGAGAAGGAUCUUGUGA